UACGGGGGGGGGCAAGCGUUAUUCGGAAUUAUUGGGCGUAAAGGGCGCGUAGGCGGCCCGGUAAGUCAAAGGUGAAAUCCCUCGGCUCAACUGAGGAACUGCCUUUGAAACUGUCGGGCUUGAGGCCGGGAGGGGGUAGCGGAAUUCCCAGUGUAGCGGUGAAAUGCGUAGAUAUUGGGAGGAACACCGGUGGCGAAGGCGGCUACCUGGACCGGUUCUGACGCUGAGGCGCGAAAGCGUGGGGAGCAAACAG
rnacentral:rRNA from 1 species